AGUUCAUGAUGAGAACAUUUCUUAGUAAGUCUUUAUACCUCUCCCAUGCCUCAUAUAAAGACUCAUUCUCAAAUUGAUUAAAUGUUGUAAUGUCAUUCUUGAGCUU